UUUAGGUUGAAUGCAAACAUGCCAUUCUGAUGUUAUGUGUGAUGUCACAAAGAGGAUAUGCUUUAAGUCUUGGUAAAGCCAGAAACAGUUAACAGUCAGACUGCAUCUCAGCCCUGUCAAGACAGAUCUCCAUAGCAGGUGAUGAAUAGUUUUAUUUGGGGGAUAUAUUAACUUUUACUAUUGGGGAAAAGUUUUAGAUUGGUUUGCCAGUUUGUAACCCAUCAAGUUGAGGCCAAUAAAUAUGCAUUCACAACUCUGUGCACAUCAAACAAUCAACUUUAUGUGUGGCUUUGGGACGGAUUCAUACAACCACAUGAAGAGUCGGACAUGACUAAUCAACUAAACAACAACAACAACAAAUCAGUUGUGUGCAUUUCUGAUCUUACCUAAUAACCAAUCUGUUGACAGGUAUCUACACACUUAGUUGUGAGAGACAAACAUGGACAUUUGCUGGUUCAUCUCUAGAUAAUGAUGAUGAUGAUGAUUGUAGGGCACCAAAUACUAGAUAAGGUGAGCUGCAAGUGGAUGUGCACUAUUGCUUGUGAUAUUUUGUUCAGCAUGGUAUAUUUUUCCAUUGAACAUAUUUAUGAGAAAGUGGUUGAUACGGAGAUCAUCUUGGUAGGGAUGGUGCAAUGUGCACUUUGAGUUUCUGAAAGACUCUGACAUUAAAAACCUGUACAUAGUAUGCCAUUUCUGUAAUCGUAAUGCUGUAUUUCAGGAAUGUUCAGCCCCCUGUAGAAAACUACAGCAAAAUAUAAAGAAAGUUGCAAGAGCUAUUUAUAUUUUCCUCCAAGUCAUUUGCAAAGCUUAAUUAAAAGAAAUCCAUCAAGCCCUCUUCACUCUUUAAAAAGUGAUUAACUACAACUCCAACCUAGUAUAAUUAUGUCCUUCAGACUGUCUUCUUGGUGAUUGAGACUUCUCUGAAAUAUAUUAGAGAGAGAAAAAAUCUCAAAAUCCCUAAAAGAUUUAAGGAACAUUUAGCUCACAGAUUGAUUAAUCAGAGUUCAAUUCCACUGGUUUACACAUAUUUGAGAAGGUUCCCUUUUUUGUUGAUGAUGAUUCCAUUGAUUUUUGUGGCGCUUCACAGAAUAUAUAUGGGAUCUGUUUGUUUCAAAUGAUUCUAUCCUUCAAACAUACGUCCUUGGAACAAGAAAUAGGACAGUGACCCUACCCUGCACAUUUUUUUAAUUAUAUGCAGAAGAUAGGAGCUUUGAUUCCCAUCAUUAUGUGGCUGAGAUGCCUACAGAGCUACCAUUUCCAGUUUAGUUUAAGAAUAAAUCAUUCUCCCCAGGGAAUUCUGGCAAUUGUAAGUCUGUGAGGGCAAUAGAGGUUUCCUAACAACCGGCAGCACUCUCAACAAACUACAGUUCCCAAGAUGAUCUGGGGGAAACCAUGGCUGUUUAACAUGGUAUGGCAUUGCUUUCGAUGUAUAGUGCUAAUGGGGCCUUAGGCUAAGGUGGGAGCAGAUGGCGCUGUGGUCUAAACCACCGAGCCUCUUGGGCUUGCUGAUUGGAAGGCUGGCGGUUGAAAUCCCCAUGAUGGGGUGAGCUCCCAUUGCUCUGUCCCAUGCAGUCUAACACUCAUCACGGUGUCCCGUUGCCCCAGAAGCAGAUUAGUCCUGCUGGCCACAUGACCUGGAAAGCUGUCUGUGGACAAAUGCUGGCUCCCUCGCCCUGAAGCAAGAUGAAUUCUGCACCCCAUAGUCACCUUUGACUGGACUUAACUGUCCAGGGGUCCUUUACCUUUCUUAGCUUUAACUAGACUAAGGCAUUUCCUUUAUUUAUACAAGGUAUGUGAUAAGUUUACAGGAUAAUAUUAAUCCUCCAAGCACUGUGAGAAGUACACAGAAGAACAAAACAGCUUUAGAAGUUUGCAGGGGAAAUAGAAGAGAGAGAGAGAGAAAGAGAAUGUCAGCAGUAUUGCUCCUACUACAAUUUACCUCUCUUACUGCAUUAUGUUGGAUAGAGUCCAGACUCAGCAAUAUGUCUUGGAAAAAAUGUUCCACAUUUUGUCUUUAAGCUAACUGUGAAAGCAGCAAGUUUCUCAAGGCCUUUAUCCCUCCUCUUGUGCUGUACUUUUAAAAGUGUCUUUGCUGUUUUGGUGCACCCCAGUGCACCAAUCUGAUGUUAUUAUCAAAGUCUCAAAAUAAAAGCUGCAUCAGUCUGCACACAGGAGAUUUGAUCUCUGACAAAUAAGUUUGUGUCACCACACUUAAAAAAACACACAUCUCUUUCUUCUCUGGUCAGCUUUUGGUAGGCUUAUUUUCUGAUUUCUGGAGAAUGGUUGCGAGCUAUGAAGAUGUGAAGAAAUAUUGUAAACAACAUACACGGAAACCUGUGGGCCAUAUUUUGCUUUAAAAAGCACCGUUCAUUUUUAUUUUUUUUUAUCCUCCACAAAUUUGUCUAACCCCCUUUUAAAGCCAUCUGGGUUGGUGUCUAUCAUCUCGUCUUGAGAUAGCAAAUUCCACAUUUUAACUAUGUGCUGUAUGGAAAAGCACUUUCUUUUGACUUUCCAGAAUCUCCUAUCAUCCUUAGAUUGCCCCAUAGAAGGUACCAUUUGCAGCAUCCUGAAAAAAAUGUUCACCACCACCACUGUCAAUUGCAGGGGUCAGCAAACAUUUUCAGCGGGGGCCGGUCCACUGUCCCUCAGACCUUUUGGGGGGCCGGAUUAUAUUUUGGAGGGGGGGGGGGAAGUAACAAUUUUUGCCCACCCCCAAGAGGCCUGAAGAUGCUUCACUUUACCUGUCCCAGUUGUCAUCCCAAUAGCCACAGUUGGGCUUCUCCAGCCAGCCAGGUGCCAUGGCAGGGUAGGAGGCUGCGUUGGCUGGCAAAGAAAGAAGAAGCAGCCCUGGCGGAGGAGCCAUGGACAGACGUAGGGGAACCGGGGCAUCGACAGAGCUUUUACCCACCACCUGCUGCUGCUGCUUCCCAAGAGGGACCAUGGAGAAGAAGACUGUUAUGUACUGAAGUUCUCACCCUGGGCCAGCAGGGGGAUACUGUAGAUAGCUUUUACUCAGGUCCACAUAUGCAAAUAAGGGAUUGAAAGUGACGUUCAGUGAUUGGCUAGUUACAGGAAGUUGCUACUGUUGCUUUGUAGUUGAGCUCUGUAUAAGCAGGUUGGCUGAACCCUUCAGUUCAGUUCUGUUCUGGCCUGUGAAUAAACAAGAGCUGUUUGAAGAAUCACUGUGUUGUCUGAUAUGUCGUCUGACAACUUAACAAAGACAGAGUCAUCUGCCAACCCACAAGUGGCAGCCGUGGCCUCCGCAACAGCCCACCUGAACGCCAUGUCAUGGGUGGAAUGAAGGAGAGAGGCAGGCAGGUGGUGACAAAGAAAGCGUGCAAGGAAGUGGCAUGGAGAAGGGGCGCAGAGAAGGAAGGAAGGGCAGACUGAGGGAGAGGGAGAAGGAGCAGGAGCAGCCAGCAGCCAGCAUCACACACCCCCUUCACAGCACCACCCUGCUGAGGCGAGCAGGUGGACGAGCCGACUCCUGCCGUUGACAGCACCAGGCGUGGGACAAGAUUGCUCCGUCCCUGAGGAGAAAAGUGCCGCAGUGUGAGGGAGAGGGAGGGAGAGGGAAAGAAAGUGUGCGCUGGUGAUCCACACGCUGGUGAUCCACACGUGAUUCCUGGACUGUCUGCUGGCCGGAUCUAGAAGGCAAUUGGGCCUGAUCUGGCCCGUGGACCUUAGUUUGCUGACCCAUGGUCUAUUGGAAUAGUUUCCCUGCCUCUGCCAGAAGAAACUACUGGUACUACUGCUUUCUCCUUGUUGCUUUUGUUAUGUAUUUUGUGUUUUUAAUUUUGUAUUUUUAUGCUGUGAACUGCCCUGAGAACUUUGGUUGAAGGGUUGUAUACAAACUUAAUAAAUAAAUAAAUACCGUAUUGGCCUGAAUAUAAGCCACACUUUCCCCCCCCAAAUUCCAACCAUGGAAAGUUAAAGUGCGGCUUAUAUUCACAACCUUACGACAUCACUGCUGAAACAGCUGCUCUAGGUCUGUGGCCCUGCCUUGCUCUCCAAGGCCGGAAUGGAAAGCGCCAUCCCCCUGCCCAGGAUGCCACCACAGGGCUGUUGGGGGUCGGGACAACGGUGCCCAUCCUGCCCAUUGCUCCCAAGCCUCCCCAGAGCCGUGAGAAAGAAGGGAGGGGGGAAGGCUGCCAGCAAAGCAGUGCCUUUCCCCCUCCCCAGGAAGCAGCCCGGGAGCGUGAGUGCCUGCAGAAUUUUAAGGGAGCGGCUUAUAUUCGGGUAUUGUCUCUCCCCCCUCCCCCCCCGAUUUUUUAAAGUUGUGGCUUAUAUUCGGGUACGGCUUAUAUUCGGGCCAAUAUGGUAAAUAAAUAAAAAUUCAAAAGUCAUUGCACGGUGGCACUGUUUCACUGGGUGAGUUCUAACAGAUUAUUUAUUUAGCAAAUUUUAUAUAGCCCCUGGUUGUUAAUACAACUGCUAAGUGGGUUGCAAAGUCAACAAACAAAUGUUAAAAUUGUCUAUGAAAGUCAAAGUUGCAAUUUAAUUAAAAUCAACAGUUAAGAUAAGAAUAGAUUAAAGCACCCGUCAACUUCUGUAUGUCUGGAUAGGCUUCCAUAAACAAAAGGAAAAAUUAGCGGGUGCCUGCUUGAUGCCAAUAGGUGUCAAGGACUGGAAUGAAGAGGCAGGGGAAUGGUGGAGAUUGCCUCCCCAUUCUCCUGUAUCUGACAGGGGAGAGAGAAACAGCAUUGAAUUGCAGCCAAGCCAAGAGGGAGAUAAUGAGGCAGAGAUGGGCAAGCAGCCAAGCUAUGAGGAGUUAGGAGAAGUGAAGGGGGGGGGGAGACAGAAUAGCCAGGGAACACUUCAUUAGACAGCAUAGAGGAUCCCCCAUCCCCUAAAACACGACUGUCUUAAAGGGUACAAGAGCAAUGUAUGCAGAGGCGUUUGUCAAUGGGAGGCUUCCAUAGGGGCCAUUGCUGUUGGAGAAGGGGAAAGGAGGAGGAGCCAGAGUGAGCAACUUCAUUAUGGAGGAAAGACUGGGAUUCUUUGCCUGUUACCGCAGUGACUGAAUAAAUCAUAAGGAAAAGCUUUCUUGUUUCCUCCCGGCUCCUUGAAACCAUCGGGAGGGGAGGGGGAGAAUUCUGACAAUAGGCUGGGUAUUCUAAAGUUUCUUCCAUAGCCACAGCCUCAACUCAAACAAUGCUCUCAAACAUUGCCCUGGCUCUCUCUCCAGUUUGUAGCUUUACCUUUAGGUCACAUCACUGCUACCUUUGCUCCAAACUCUAGCCUUUUCCAUGGAGGGAGAGGGACACACAUAUUUACUGUCUCUCACAGAGCCCAUUAAUCCUCUUUAAAGCCUCGUCACCCAGACUACCAUCUCACCAGAAGGCUAGCCUGGCUAUUCCAAUAAUGAAAAGCCUUCUAAAACUUGCUAGAUAGAGGGAUCAGAUGGGUCUGGUACCUAGCUUAACAUCCCAAACUCAUAACAUUAUCUUUAAGUGUCAGGCAGAAACACUAGUUUAUAACCAGGCCUUUGGGUUGAUUAAAUAAUCUAUGGCCUAUUAAAUGUGUUUGAGGGAGAGGGGUUAUUGAUUUAUCUUUGUUUUUCGUUAUGUAUUUUGUGUUUUGUAUUUUUAUGUUGUGAACUGCUCAGUGAUCUUCAGAUGAAGGGCACUAUACAAAAUUAAGAAGAAGGAAGGAAGGAAGGAAGGAAGGAAGGAAGGAAGGAAGGAAAGAAAGAAAGAAAGAAAGAAAGAAAGAAAGAAAGAAAGAAAGAAAGAAAGAGUUUGUGCCUAGGAGAGGAGAAGGAAUAAAAUAUUGAGUUGUAUGGAGAUCUCCUUUCAUGAACAUUACCCUGUGGGCUCCCUAUUUGUGAAAUUAUUGUGCCUACCAUUAGUUACUUUCAAAAAUUACACCAUAUAAAUAACAUUCCCCACACAAUGGGGUUGGGAACCAUUGCAAAGUUGAGAUUAUUUGGAGGGAAUGCACUAGCUUGUCAAGUGAAUUUCUUAGAGUAUCUCCAACGGAAUAAUUUGAAUUGGCCCAGCUUUUGUCUUUGGGAGUUAGGAGCAACUUGACAUCUAGCUUAAACUAUAGAGACAAAUGAAAAAGAACAGUGAAGCAUGUCACAGGUUUACAGAUUCUGGACCAUCAAAAUGAUGUUCAGAAAUAUUUCAGCCUACCUGGAUCCCUUUGCAGUUAUUUUUAUCUAUGUUUGUAGAUGCUUCUGAUGUGAACAUGUAAGCUGAGCACAGUAUUUUCUCCCUGUGGUAUAGAACCUAAGUAAAGAUCUAAGUCCAUCCAAACCAUUCUCCUUAUCUCAGG
rnacentral:lncRNA from 1 species